rnacentral:rRNA from 1 species
GGUUAAGCGACUAAGCGUACACGGUGGAUGCCCUGGCAGUCAGAGGCGAUGAAGGACGUGCUAAUCUGCGAAAAGCGUCGGUAAGGUGAUAUGAACCGUUAUAACCGGCGAUGUCCGAAUGGGGAAACCCAGUGCAAUUCGUUGCACUAUCGUUAACUGAAUACAUAGGUUAACGAGGCGAACCGGGGGAACUGAAACAUCUAAGUACCCCGAGGAAAAGAAAUCAACCGAGAUUCCCCCAGUAGCGGCGAGCGAACGGGGAGCAGCCCAGAGUCUGAAUCAGCUUGUGUGUUAGUGGAACGGUCUGGAAAGUCCGACGGUACAGGGUGAUAGUCCCGUACACCAAAAUGCACAGGUUGUGAACUCGAAGAGUAGGGCGGGACACGUGGUAUCCUGUCUGAAUAUGGGGGGACCAUCCUCCAAGGCUAAAUACUCCUGACUGACCGAUAGUGAACCAGUACCGUGAGGGAAAGGCGAAAAGAACCCCGGCGAGGGGAGUGAAAAAGAACCUGAAACCGUGUACGUACAAGCAGUGGGAGCACCUUCGGGUGUGACUGCGUACCUUUUGUAUAAUGGGUCAGCGACUUAUAUUCUGUAGCAAGGUUAACCGUAUAGGGGAGCCGCAGGGAAACCGAGUCUUAACUGGGCGUUAAGUUGCAGGGUAUAGACCCGAAACCCGGUGAUCUAGCCAUGGGCAGGUUGAAGGUUGGGUAACACUAACUGGAGGACCGAACCGACUAAUGUUGAAAAAUUAGCGGAUGACUUGUGGCUGGGGGUGAAAGGCCAAUCAAACCGGGAGAUAGCUGGUUCUCCCCGAAAGCUAUUUAGGUAGCGCCUCGUGAAUUCAUCUUCGGGGGUAGAGCACUGUUUCGGCUAGGGGGUCAUCCCGACUUACCAACCCGAUGCAAACUACGAAUACCGAAGAAUGUUAUCACGGGAGACACACGGCGGGUGCUAACGUCCGUCGUGAAGAGGGAAACAACCCAGACCGCCAGCUAAGGUCCCAAAGUCAUGGUUAAGUGGGAAACGAUGUGGGAAGGCACAGACAGCCAGGAUGUUGGCUUAGAAGCAGCCAUCAUUUAAAGAAAGCGUAAUAGCUCACUGGUCGAGUCGGCCUGCGCGGAAGAUGUAACGGGGCUAAACCAUGCACCGAAGCUGCGGCAGCGACACUAUGUGUUGUUGGGUAGGGGAGCGUUCUGUAAGCCUGCGAAGGUGGCCUGUGAGGGUUGCUGGAGGUAUCAGAAGUGCGAAUGCUGACAUAAGUAACGAUAAAGCGGGUGAAAAGCCCGCUCGCCGGAAGACCAAGGGUUCCUGUCCAACGUUAAUCGGGGCAGGGUGAGUCGACCCCUAAGGCGAGGCCGAAAGGCGUAGUCGAUGGGAAACAGGUUAAUAUUCCUGUACUUGGUGUUACUGCGAAGGGGGGACGGAGAAGGCUAUGUUAGCCGGGCGACGGUUGUCCCGGUUUAAGCAUGUAGGCGGAGGUUCCAGGUAAAUCCGGUACCUUUUAACGCUGAGGUGUGAUGACGAGGCACUACGGUGCUGAAGUAACAAAUGCCCUGCUUCCAGGAAAAGCCUCUAAGCAUCAGGUAACAUUAAAUCGUACCCCAAACCGACACAGGUGGUCAGGUAGAGAAUACCAAGGCGCUUGAGAGAACUCGGGUGAAGGAACUAGGCAAAAUGGUGCCGUAACUUCGGGAGAAGGCACGCUGGUGUGUAGGUGAAGUCCCUGCGGACGGAGCUGAGACCAGUCGAAGAUACCAGCUGGCUGCAACUGUUUAUUAAAAACACAGCACUGUGCAAACACGAAAGUGGACGUAUACGGUGUGACGCCUGCCCGGUGCCGGAAGGUUAAUUGAUGGGGUUAUCCGUAAGGAGAAGCUCUUGAUCGAAGCCCCGGUAAACGGCGGCCGUAACUAUAACGGUCCUAAGGUAGCGAAAUUCCUUGUCGGGUAAGUUCCGACCUGCACGAAUGGCGUAAUGAUGGCCAGGCUGUCUCCACCCGAGACUCAGUGAAAUUGAACUCGCUGUGAAGAUGCAGUGUACCCGCGGCAAGACGGAAAGACCCCGUGAACCUUUACUAUAGCUUGACACUGAACAUUGAGCCUUGAUGUGUAGGAUAGGUGGGAGGCUUUGAAGCGUGGACGCCAGUCUGCGUGGAGCCAACCUUGAAAUACCACCCUUUAAUGUUUGAUGUUCUAACGUUGGCCCGUAAUCCGGGUUGCGGACAGUGUCUGGUGGGUAGUUUGACUGGGGCGGUCUCCUCCCAAAGAGUAACGGAGGAGCACGAAGGUUAGCUAAUCCUGGUCGGACAUCAGGAGGUUAGUGCAAUGGCAUAAGCUAGCUUGACUGCGAGCGUGACGGCGCGAGCAGGUGCGAAAGCAGGUCAUAGUGAUCCGGUGGUUCUGAAUGGAAGGGCCAUCGCUCAACGGAUAAAAGGUACUCCGGGGAUAACAGGCUGAUACCGCCCAAGAGUUCAUAUCGACGGCGGUGUUUGGCACCUCGAUGUCGGCUCAUCACAUCCUGGGGCUGAAGUAGGUCCCAAGGGUAUGGCUGUUCGCCAUUUAAAGUGGUACGCGAGCUGGGUUUAGAACGUCGUGAGACAGUUCGGUCCCUAUCUGCCGUGGGCGCUGGAGAAUUGAGGGGGGCUGCUCCUAGUACGAGAGGACCGGAGUGGACGCAUCACUGGUGUUCGGGUUGUCAUGCCAAUGGCACUGCCCGGUAGCUAAAUGCGGAAGAGAUAAGUGCUGAAAGCAUCUAAGCACGAAACUUGCCCCGAGAUGAGUUCUCCCUGAGACUAUAAGUCUCCUGAAGGAACGUUGAAGACGACGACGUUGAUAGGCCGGGUGUGUAAGCGCAGCGAUGCGUUGAGCUAACCGGUACUAAUGAACCGUGAGGCUUAACCUU